UCUGGGCGCAAAGCGCACGCAGGCGGUCUGUCAAGUCGGAUGUGAAAUCCCCCGGGCUCAACCUGGGAACUGCAUCCGAAACUGGCAGGCUAGAGUCUUGUAGAGGGGGGUAGAAUUCCAGGUGUAGCGGUGAAAUGCGUAGAGAUCUGGAGGAAUCCCGGUGGCGAAAGGCGGCCCCCUGGACAAAGACUGACGCUCAGGUGCGAAAGCGUGGGGAGCAAACAGGAUUAGAUACCCUGGUAGUCCACGCCGUAAACGAUGUCGACUUGGAGGUUGUGCCCUUGAGGCGUGGCUUCCGGAGCUAACGCGUUAAGUCGACCGCCUGGGGAGUACGGCCGCAAGGUUAAAACUCAAAUGAAUUGACGGGGGCCCGCACAAGCGGUGGAGCAUGUGGUUUAAUUCGAUGCAACGCGAAGAACCUUACCUACUCUUGACAUCCAGAGAACUUAGCAGAGAUGCUUUGGUGCCUUCGGGAACUCUGAGACAGGUGCUGCAUGGCUGUCGUCAGCUCGUGUUGUGAAAUGUUGGGUUAAGUCCCGCAACGAGCGCAACCCUUAUCCUUUGUUGCCAGCGGUUCGGCCGGGAACUCAAAGGAGACUGCCAGUGAUAAACUGGAGGAAGGUGGGGAUGACGUCAAGUCAUCACGGCCCUUACGAGUAGGGCUACACACGUGCUACAAUGGCAUAUACAAAGAGAAGCGACCUCGCGAGAGCAAGCGGACCUCAUAAAGUAUGUCGUAGUCCGGAUUGGAGUCUGCAACUCGACUCCAUGAAGUCGGAAUCGCUAGUAAUCGUGA
rnacentral:rRNA from 1 species